rnacentral:rRNA from 1 species
CCCUUAGAGUUUGAUCAUGGCUCAGAACGAACGCUGGCGGCAUGCCUAACACAUGCAAGUCGAACGAAGGCCCUAGCUUGCUAGGUGUCCUUAGUGGCGAACGGGUGAGUAACGCGUGGGAAUCUGCCAUAGAGUGGGGAACAACUUUUGGAAACGAAAGCUAAUACCGCAUACGCCCUCCGGGGGAAAGGCUUCGGCCGCUCUUUGAUGAUCCCGCGUCUGAUUAGCUUGUUGGUAGGGUAACGGCUUACCAAGGCGACGAUCAGUAGCUGGUCUGAGAGGAUGAUCAGCCGCACUGGGACUGAGACACGGCCCAGACUCCUACGGGAGGCAGCAGUGGGGAAUAUUGGACAAUGGGGGAAACCCUGAUCCAGCAAUGCCGCGUGAGUGAAGAAGGCCUUAGGGUUGUAAAACUCUUUCGCCGGUGAAGAUGAUGACUGUAGCCGGUAAAGAAGCCCCGGCUAACUCCGUGCCAGCAGCCGCGGUAAUACGGAGGGGGCUAGCGUUGUUCGGAUUUACUGGGCGUAAAGCGCACGUAGGCGGCAUAUUAAGUUAGAGGUGAAAGGCCUGGGCUCAACCUAGGAACUGCCUUUAAUACUGGUAUGCUUGAGUUCGGAAGAGGGUAGUGGAAUUCCAAGUGUAGAGGUGAAAUUCGUAGAUAUUUGGAAGAACACCGGUGGCGAAGGCGGCUACCUGGUCCGAUACUGACGCUGAGGUGCGAAAGCGUGGGGAGCGAACAGGAUUAGAUACCCUG